rnacentral:rRNA from 1 species
GAUUAGUCAUCCUGGCCCGCAGGCUUCUGUCUGUGAGUGCUGGUAUGUUCUAUUCAUCCUUCUAGUUUGCCAUGCGUACCGUUUAUUCGGCCGCGCGUGUGUGAUCUAGAUCUUUUACUUUGAAAAAAUUAGAGUGUUUAAAGCAGGCUUACGCCAUGAAUACAUUAGCAUGGAAUAAUAAUAUAGGACUUUGGUUCUAUUUUGUUGGUUUCUAGGACUGAAGUA